CAGUAGCCGCGGUAAUACGUAGGUGGCAAGCGUUGUCCGGAAUUAUUGGGCGUAAAGGGCUCGCAGGCGGUUUCUUAAGUCUGAUGUGAAGGCCCCCGGCUCAACCGGGGAGGGUCAUUGGAAACUGGGAAACUUGAGUGCAGAAGAGGAGAGUGGAAUUCCACGCGUAGCGGUGAAAUGCGUAGAGAUGUGGAGGAACACCAGUGGCGAAGGCGACUCUCUGGUCUGUAACUGACGCUGAGGAGCGAAAGCGUGGGGAGCGAACAGGAUUAGAUACCCCAGUAGUCCCUGUCUCUUAUAC
rnacentral:rRNA from 1 species